rnacentral:misc_RNA from 1 species
AAGUCGUAACAAGGUUUCCGUAGGUGAACCUGCGGAAGGAUCAUUGCCUGAGGGCGCGUGGCCGAGCGUGCAAGCGCGGAGCCCGCGCAUUACACUCAUGACCCAUGUGAACCAUGUGAACAAAGUGACGUGACGGUGGCGUGUCGUCGUCGUCGGCGCACCCUCCGUCCCUCUCUUUUUUACAACUAUUUCAACUAUCAUUAACCACGUUGACUUUGCUUCUCUGACUGAGAUUCAAGCGACCUUAACACGUCGCGACCAAACCAAACAUAUCACAACUUUUAACAACGGAUAUCUUGGCUCGC